rnacentral:rRNA from 1 species
GAUGAACGCUGGCGGCGUGCCUAAUACAUGCAAGUCGAGCGAACAGACGAGGAGCUUGCUCCUCUGACGUUAGCGGCGGACGGGUGAGUAACACGUGGAUAACCUACCUAUAAGACUGGGAUAACUUCGGGAAACCGGAGCUAAUACCGGAUAAUAUAUUGAACCGCAUGGUUCAAUAGUGAAAGACGGUUUUGCUGUCACUUAUAGAUGGAUCCGCGCCGCAUUAGCUAGUUGGUAAGGUAACGGCUUACCAAGGCAACGAUGCGUAUCCGACCUGAGAGGGUGAUCGGCCACACUGGAACUGAGACACGGUCCAGACUCCUACGGGAGGCGGCAGUAGGGAAUCUUCCGCAAUGGGCGAAAGCUUGACGGAGCAACGCCGCGUGAGUGAUGAAGGUCUUCGGAUCGUAAAACUCUGUUAUUAGGGAAGAACAAAUGUGUAAGUAACUAUGCACGUCUUGACGGUACCUAAUCAGAAAGCCACGGCUAACUACGUG